CAGCAGCCGCGGGAAUACAGAGGAUGCAAGCGUUAUCCGGAAUGAUCGGGCGUAAAGCGCGCGUAGGUGGUUUGUUAAGUUGGAUGUGAAAUCCCCGGGCUCAACCUGGGAACUGCAUUCAAAACUGACUGACUAGAGUAUGGUAGAGGGUGGUGGAAUUUCCUGUGUAGCGGUGAAAUGCGUAGAUAUAGGAAGGAACACCAGUGGCGAAGGCGACCACCUGGACUAAUACUGACACUGAGGUGCGAAAGCGUGGGGAGCAAACAGGAUUAGAUACCCCUGUAGUCCCUGUCUCUUAUAC
rnacentral:rRNA from 1 species